AGGACGAACGCUGGCGGCGUGCUUAACACAUGCAAGUCACGGGGGCUCGCAAGAGCAACCGGCGAACGGGUGCGUAACACGUGAGCAACCUACCGAUUUGUGGGGGAUAGCCGACCUAACGGCCGGGUAAUACCGCAUACGCUUUCCGGGUCUCCUGACCUGGGAAGGAAACCUCCGGGGCAAAUCGAGGGGCUCGCGGCCUAUCAGCUAGUUGGCGAGGUCACGGCUCACCAAGGCGACGACGGGUAGC
rnacentral:rRNA from 1 species